UGUUUCGUCAGGAGAGGACGUGAGGCCGAACUCAGUGUAGUUACUGUAAAUCCACCCAGACUACUGCUGGAUGUAUAGUUACUGUAAAUCCACCCAGACUGCUGCAGGAUGUAUAGUUACUGUAAAUCCACCCAGACUGCUGCAGGAUGUAUAGUUACUGUAAAUCCACCCAGACUGCUGCAGGAUGUAUAGUUACUGUAAAUCCACCCAGACUGCUGCAGGAUGUAUAGUUACUGUAAAUCCACCCAGACUGCUGCAGGAUGUAUAGUUACUGUAAAUCCACCCAGACUGCUGCAGGAUGUAUAGACUGUAUAGUUACUGUAAAACCACCCAGACUACUGCAGGAUGUAUAGACUGUAUAGUUAUUGUAAAUCCACCCAGACUACUGCAGGAUGUGUAGACUGUAUAGUUACUGUAAAUCCACCCAGACUACUGCUGGAUGUAUAGACUAUAUAGUUACUGUACAUCCACCCAGACUACUGCAGGAUGUAUAGUUACUGUAAAUCCACCCAGACUGCUGCAGGAUGUAUAGUUACUGUAAAUCCACCCAGACUGCUGCAGGAUGUAUAGUUACUGUAAAUCCACCCAGACUGCUGCAGGAUGUAUAGUUACUGUAAAUCCACCCAGACUGCUGCAGGAGGUAUAGUUACUGUAAAUCCACCCAGACUACUGCAGUUACUGUAUAGUUACUGUAAAUCCACCCAGACUACUGCUGGAUGUAUAGUUACUGUAUAGUUACUGUAAAUCCACCCAGACUACUGCUGGAUGUAUAGACUGUGUAGUUACUGUAUCCACCCAGGUUACUGCUGGAUGUAUAGACUGUAUAGUUACUGUAAAUCCACCCAGACUACUGCUGGAUGUAUAGUUACUGUAAAUCCACCCAGGUUACUGCUGGAUGUAUGGACUGUAUAGUUACUGUAAAUCCACCCAUGCUACUGCUGGAUGUAUAGACUGUAUAGUUACUGUAAAUCCACCCAGACUACUGCUGGAUGUAUAGACUGUAUUGUUACUGUAACUCCACCCAGACUCCUGCUGGAUGUAUAGACUGUAUAGUUACUGUAAAACCACCCAGACUACUGCAGGAUGUAUAGACUGUAUAGUUAUUGUAAAUCCACCCAGACUACUGCAGGAUGUGUAGACUGUAUAGUUACUGUAAAUCCACCCAGACUACUGCUGGAUGUAUAGACUGUAUUGUUACUGUAAAUCCACCCAGACUACUGCUGGAUGUAUAGACUAUAUAGUUACUGUACAUCCACCCAGACUACUGCUGGAUGUAUAGACUGUAUAGUUACUGUACAUCCACCCAGACUACUGCUGGAUGUAUAGUUACUUUAAAUCCACCCAGACUACUGCUGGAUGUAUAGACUGUAUUGUUACUGUAAAUCCACCCAGACUACUGCUGGAUGUAUAGACUGUAUAGUUACUGUACAUCCACCCAGACUACUGCUGGAUGUAUAGACUGUAUAGUUACUGUAAAACCACCCAGACUACUGCAGGAUGUAUAGCUGAUAGUUACUGUAACUCCACCCAGACUGCUGCUGGAUGUAUAGACUGUAUAGUUACUGUAAAUCCACCCAGACUACUGCAGGAUGUAUAGACUGUAUAUGAGGCCAGAUGAGGCUGAGUACAGAUUCCUGACUGUAGAGACAUAAACACUGUUCCCAGAUUUUGUUUGGUCUUCAGCCAACCUCUCUGACUAGCAUGAUGGUUUACAGGUAACUACAGGUCUGGGACCAGUCUACGUGACUGGAGAGACACUGUGCUCUCCUGCAUCCCAAAUGGCACCCUAUUCCCAGUAUAGUGCACUACUUUAGAUCAGACCCCUCUGGGGCCCGUACCCUGACUGCCCCCUCUGGGCCCGUACCUUGACUGCCCCCUCUAGGCCCGUACCCUGAC
rnacentral:lncRNA from 8 species